rnacentral:lncRNA from 1 species
CCUGGUGCAGUGGCCAGCAGCACGGGUGUGGGCGCAAGGCGGAUGGGGAGGUCUGGGGUUCGAGCUGCAGUUUGCGCACGCAAGGUUAGGAUUUUUACCUUGAUUGGAAUUUGAAUUACGGCGAAAGAAUUUGGGUGUAAUUAAAAUUAAGGAAGGAAUUUUAAUGGAAUUCAAACUGGAAAGAAGUGGGGUAAGUAUUUAAGCCAACUAUAGGGUGUUAGUUGGGGAGUUUUUUCGGCUAGUCUCUUGG